rnacentral:rRNA from 1 species
AUUGAACGCUGGCGGCGUGCCUAACACAUGCAAGUCGAGCGGUAACAGGUGUAGCAAUACAUGCUGACGAGCGGCGAACGGGUGAGUAAUGCUUCGGAAUCUACCUUAUGGUGGGGAAUAACUAGCCGAAAGGUUAGCUAAUACCGCAUACGUCCUACGGGAGAAAGCAGGGGAUCGUAAGACCUUGCGCCAAAAGAUGAGCCGAAGUCGGAUUAGCUAGUUGGUAGGGUAACGGCCACCAAGGCGACGAUCCGUAGCUGGUCUGAGAGGACGACCAGCCACACUGGCACUGCGACACGGGCCAGACUCCUACGGGAGGCAGCAGUAAGGAAUAUUGCGCAAUGGGCGAAAGCCUGACGCAGCGACGCCGCGUGCGGGAAGAAGGCCUCGG